GAUGAAGAACGCAGCGAAAUGCGAUAAGUAAUGUGAAUUGCAGAAUUCAGUGAAUCAUCGAAUCUUUGAACGCACAUUGCGCCCGCCAGUAUUCUGGCGGGCAUGCCUGUCUGAGCGUCAUUUCAACCCUCAUGCCCCUAGGGCGUGGUGUUGGGGAUCGGCCAAAGCCCGCGAGGGACGGCCGGCCCCUAAAUCUAGUGGCGGACCCGUCGUGGCCUCCUCUGCGAAGUAGUGAUAUUCCGCAUCGGAGAGCGACGAGCCCCUGCCGUUAAACCCACAACUUUCCAAGGUUGACCUCAGAUCAGGUAGGAAUACCCGCUGAACUUAAGCAUAUCAAUAAGCGGAGGA
rnacentral:misc_RNA from 1 species